rnacentral:rRNA from 1 species
UUCUUUAUUGAUUUUUAUAUAAGGUAUAACCUGCUCAAUGAUUUUUAAAUAGCCGCGAUUUUAUCGUGCUAAGGUAGCAUAAUAAUUUGUCUUUUAAUUAAGGUCUAGAAUGAAUGGUUGAACGAGAAAUUAACUUUUUUAAUUAAAUUUUUAUGAAUUUUAUUUUUUAGUAAAAAAGCUAAAAUUUAUUUAUGUGACGAUAAGACCCUAUAAAAUUUUAUUUUCAUAUUUUUAUUUAUUAACUGGUUAAUAUAAUUUUUUAAAUAUCUUGGAAAUUUGGUUGGGGCGAUUAUUUUAUUUUUUUAACUUUAAUUUUUACAAUUCAUUAAUUUGUGAAUUAUUGAU